UAGUUUAGGAGAAAUCUCUCGUACUUAGAUUUACAAUCUAAUGCCUAGGCUCGGCCACUAAACU
rnacentral:tRNA from 1 species